UACGUAGGGUGCGAGCGUUAAUCGGAAUUACUGGGCGUAAAGCGUGCGCAGGCGGUUUUGUAAGCCAGGUGUGAAAUCCCCGGGCUCAACCUGGGAAUGGCAUUUGGGACUGCAAGGCUGGAGUGCGGCAGAGGAGACUGGAAUUCCUGGUGUAGCAGUGAAAUGCGUAGAUAUCAGGAGGAACACCGAUGGCGAAGGCAGGUCUCUGGGCUGACACUGACGCUCAUGCACGAAAGCGUGGGGAGCGAACAGG
rnacentral:rRNA from 1 species